CCCUCCUCUUCUUAAAUACACAUGCCCAGAAUUCAGACAAAGCUGGCAUGUGGACUUGCAGGUCUGGUAUAAGCCUAAUAAAGGCUUGCAAGUUGUCACACAGAAGUAAUAGAGAAGAAUAAGGACCUGUUUGUACUCAUUGAUCGUAGGAUGGCUGUGGGCCUUCAAGAUGAUAGUGAGAAGAAAAUGGCAUAUGACAGU